rnacentral:tRNA from 1 species
UGUGUUUUGGUGUAUGACGCACAUUGAUUUUUGAUGUCAUUGGGGAUAGUUUAAUUCUAUCAAAUAUAG